CGUACACUCCUGCGGGAGGCAGCAGUGAGGAAUAUUGGACAAUGGGUGGAAGCCUGAUCCGGCCAUCCCGCGUGCAGGAAGACGGCCCUAUGGGUUGUAAACUGCUUUUAUCUGGGGAUAAACCUACUUACGUGUAAGUAGCUGAAGGUACCAGAAGAAUAAGCACCGGCUAACUCCGUGCCAGCAGCCGCGGUAAUACGGAGGGUGCAAGCGUUAUCCGGAUUUAUUGGGUUUAAAGGGUCCGUAGGCGGACUGAUAAGUCAGUGGUGAAAUCCGACAGCUUAACUGUCGAACUGCCAUUGAUACUGUUAGUCUUGAGUAAGGUUGAAGUGGCUGGAAUAAGUAGUGUAGCGGUGAAAUGCAUAGAUAUUACUUAGAACACCAAUUGCGAAGGCAGGUCACUAAGUCUUAACUGACGCUGAUGGACGAAAGCGUGGGGAGCGAACAGGAUUAGAAACCCCGGUAGUCCC
rnacentral:rRNA from 1 species